ensembl:snoRNA U3 Small nucleolar RNA U3
AAGACUGUACUUUCAGGGAUCAUUUCUAUAGUUUGUUACCAGAGAAGUUUCUCUGAACGUGUUAAAAAAAAAAAAAAA